rnacentral:rRNA from 1 species
UGAGGAAUAUUGGGCAAUGCCCGCAAGGGUGACCCAGCAACGCCGCGUGGAGGAUGAAUGUCGUAAGAUUGUAAACUCCUGUUAGAGGGGAAGAAUAGUACCGGUUGGACCGGUAUAUGACUGUACCCUCAGAGAAAGCCCCGGCUAACUACGUGCCAGCAGCCGCGGUAAUACGUAGGGGGCAAGCGUUGUCCGGAUUUACUGGGUGUAAAGGGCGCGCAGGCGGGAUAAAAAGUCAGUGGUGAAAUCCUACAGCUUAACUGUAGAACUGCCUUUGAUACUUUUAUUCUUGAGUUCGGGAGAGAGAGACGGAAUUCCGGGUGUAGUGGUGAAAUACGUAGAUAUCUGGAAGAACACCAGUUGCGAAGGCGGUCUCUUGGUCCGACACUGACGCUGAGGCGCGAAAGCGUGGGGAGCAAACA